GACGAACGCUGGCGGCGUGCUUAACACAUGCAAGUCGAACGGUAAGGCCCCUUCGGGGGUACACGAGUGGCGAACGGGUGAGUAACACGUGAGCAACCUGCCCUUGACUCUGGAAUAACAGUUGGAAACAGCUGCUAAUACUGGAUAUUCAUCGUCUCCUUCCUGGGGGGUGAUGGAAAGCUCCGGCGGUCAGGGAUGGGCUCGCGGCCUAUCAGCUUGUUGGUGAGGUAAUGGCUCACCAAGGCUUCGACGGGUAGCCGGCCUGAGAGGGCGACCGGCCACCCUGGGACUGAGAUACGGCCCAGACUCCUACGGGAGGCAGCAGUGGGGAAUAUUGCACAAUGGGCGCAAGCCUGAUGCAGCAACGCCGCGUGCGGGAUGACGGCCUUCGGGUUGUAAACCGCUUUCAGUAGGGACGAAGGGUGACUGACGGUACCUACAGAAGAAGGACCGGCUAACUACGUG
rnacentral:rRNA from 1 species